rnacentral:tRNA from 1 species
AAGAAAUUAGUUAAAAUAUAAUAUAAGAUUGUCAGUCUUAUGUCACUAAUAAACUUUAGUAUUUCUUA